ACUCACCAAGCCCUGACCACACUUCAGCCGGUAUAGGGGGAGGGAGAAACUGAGUACAGGGAGAGCGUUUUACUUUCUGUUUCUGCUAUCACUGAUAGCAGAAGUCCGUGCAUGCAGGGAGAGGAACUUUUCUGCCUGAUGGUAAUGAGAGCACAGGACUCCCCUGCAUGCUGUGGCUGACAGAGACCCACUAUCAACAUAGCAACAUACUGUAUCAACAACAUAGGAAACCUUCUGAAAGGGACAAGUUGAAGUGAUGCCCAUAACAAGAGAAAUAACUGGUGGGCAGAACGAAGGGACAUAUGCAAGGAGUAAUUCCAGCAAGCAUUUCCAUUUCUUUGCAACAUUAUGGCCUUGGUUCUAGUUUAUGUUUCUUAUGACCUCACCAAGAUCGUAAUUUGCUGAUAUCAGGACCUU